rnacentral:rRNA from 1 species
AACGAACGCUGGCGACAGGCUUAACACAUGCAAGUCGAGCGCCCCGCAAGGGGAGCGGCAGACGGGUGAGUAACGCGUGGGAACGUACCUUUUGGUUCGGAACAACUCCGGGAAACUGGAGCUAAUACCGGAUAAGCCCUAACGGGGAAAGAUUUAUCGCCGAAAGAUCGGCCCGCGUCUGAUUAGCUAGUUGGUGAGGUAACGGCUCACCAAGGCGACGAUCAGUAGCUGGUCUGAGAGGAUGAUCAGCCACACUGGGACUGAGACACGGCCCAGACUCCUACGGGAGGCAGCAGUGGGGAAUAUUGGACAAUGGGCGCAAGCCUGAUCCAGCCAUGCCGCGUGAGUGAUGAAGGCCUUAGGGUUGUAAAGCUCUUUUGUCCGGGAAGAUAAUGACUGUACCGGAAGAAUAAGCCCCGGCUAACUUCGUG